GGCCCCAGGGGCCCUGGGAUGGGGAACUGCAGUGGCUUCCUUGGAGGCUUUAGCAGUGGCAUCCAGGGCUGGGGUUGCAGUCGUGGAUGGGGCUGGGGUCGAGGCUGCAGAGCUCUCAAAGGCAAAGCGGAUGAUAAGGAGAGGCUGCCCCCCAAUACCAAGCUGGGCCGCCUGGUCAAGGACGUCAAGAUCAAGUCCCUGGAAGAGAUCCAUCUCUUCUCCCUACCCAUCAAGGAAACUGAGGUCACUGACUUUCUCCUGGAGCCUCUCUCAAGGAUGAGGUUUUGAAGACUAUGCUGGUGCAGAAGCAGAUCCAUGCCGGCCAGCACACCAGGUUCAAGGCAUUUGUUGCCAUAAGGGACUACAAUGGCCAUGUCGGUCUGGGUAUUAAGUGCACCAAGAAGGUGGCCACUGCCAUCUUCAGAGCUAUCAUCCUGUCCAAGCUUUCCAUUGUCCCCGUGUGCAAAGGCUACUGGGGGAACAAAAUUGGCCAGGCCCACACCAUCCCUUGCAAGGUGACAGGCCGCUGCAGCUGUGUGCUUGUGUGCCUCAUCCCUGCAUCCAGAGGCACUGGCACUGUCUCAGCCCCUGUGUCCAGGAAGAUGCUCACCAUGGCUGGAAUUGAUGAUCGCUACACUUCAGCCAGGGGCUGCACUGCCACCCUGGGCAACCUCACGAAUGCCACCUUUGAUGCCAUCUCUAAGACCUACAGCUACCUGACCCCCAACCUCUGGAAGGAAACUGUAUUCACCAAGUCUCCCUAUCAGGAAUUCACUGACCACCUCAUCAAGACCCACUCCAGAGUCUCAGUGCAGAAGACCCAGGCUCCAGCUACGGCUACAACAUAGGGUUUUUAUACAAGAAAAAUAAAGUGAAUUAAGCCUGAAA